GAUGAACGCUGACAGAAUGCUUAACACAUGCAAGUCUACUUGAAUUUGGGUUUUUUAACUUAGAUUUGGGUGGCGGACGGGUGAGUAACGCGUAAAGAACUUGCCUCACAGCUAGGGACAACAUUUGGAAACGAAUGCUAAUACCUGAUAUUAUGAUUUUAAGGCAUCUUAGAAUUAUGAAAGCUAUAUGCGCUGUGAGAGAGCUUUGCGUCCCAUUAGCUAGUUGGAGAGGUAACGGCUCACCAAGGCGAUGAUGGGUAGCCGGCCUGAGAGGGUGAACGGCCACAAGGGGACUGAGACACGGCCCUUACUCCUACGGGAGGCAGCAGUGGGGAAUAUUGGACAAUGGACCAAGAGUCUGAUCCAGCAAUUCUGUGUGCACGAUGACGUUUUUCGGAAUGUAAAGUGCUUUCAGUUGGGAAGAAAAAAAUGACGGUACCAACAGAAGAAGUG
rnacentral:rRNA from 1 species